rnacentral:lncRNA from 1 species
GGAAUGAACCCAAGGGCGCUUAACCACGGAGCAACAUCCCCAGUUCUUUUGUAUAUUUUAUUUAGAGACAGGGUUCACUAAGUGGCUUAUGUCCUCACUAAGUUGCUGAGGCUGGCUUGGAACUCGCAAUCCUCCUGCCUCAGCCUCUGAAGCUGCUGGGAUCACCAGAGUGUGCCACCACACCUGGCUUUCAGGAAUUUUCUUAAUCCACUUGUCCAUUUUGUAAAAGUUAGUUUAAAUUCAUUCAUAAUGUAACAUUUGGGCAUAAUUCUCGUACUUGGGAUACAUUGAAGAUAGAACCAGAGAAUUCAAUCACUCUAUCCCUCAGACAUGGUCCUGUGUGAGUUUCAAGACACUGAGAAUAAGUAUUGGGACACAGAGCCUGAGGGUGGUGACCCUAGAUCUUCCUCAGGAGCCCUUAGGACCAUGGGGCCAGCUGAGGGACAGUUUGCCUGUGGACAAUUUUUACAGUGCACAUAGUAAGCAGUGACAAAACACAAUUUGUUUUGUUUCUUUGGAUUAAAAAAUGUGAACAGAACAGAUUUUCAUGUUAAUCUCAAUUUCCCAUCUAAAUCAUAGCCUUCUAAAGCAGAAGGAACUGCCUUAGCCAUUGCUUGCCUCCUGGUGAUCCCAAUACAGUUUCAUUGUUGUGCAUGGUUGAAAUUAAACAUUUCAUUCCAAAACCUGCAGGCAAGUGUGUUUUAACACAAUCAACAGGAGUGCGAUAUGUAUGUUAUAAGAAGCUUCGCCCUGCAUCAACUGUGAGUGCAGAUCAGGAUGUGCGGGAUGCAGACACUUAUUUGUCCUCUAACAUAUCACCAUGUACUAGAAUUCAUGGCUUCUGUGCUGUCAGGAUCUCCAUCUCUGAUUCCUCCUCUCACUGGAUGGGCAACCGAGGAAGGCCCAGGUCUGGCAGGUUCCAGUGCUCUGCAGCCGUGGAUCAUAAGGGCGCCCAUAUGUCCCAGGAUCUGGGCUGGACUCCUCGUGUCUGGGGGAAGGAAAGCCCAGCAGGCCAGCUUCUUUCCCACCCUGGAGCUGGCGAGAGGCUUUGUGGCAGUGUUUGUACAACAUCUGGUUGCAUGACAGGUGUGGAAACCAGGUGUGAUUUACUAGCUUCUGAGCCUCCUCACACCAGGAGAGCCCUUCUUGUCAGAUGGGAAGAAACAGAUAGGAGAUGCAGCCCGGGGCUUUCCCUCCCAGACCCUGCUUUGCACAUCUGUGCUGGAGUUGGCCUCACCCAACAAUUGAUACUUCUGUGCUUCUGUUGUAUGGCAGCUAUCAGGAAUGUUCUAUGUAAAUGUGUGAGCCAGACUCAAAUCAGCGGUCUAACAACUGGAUUUUAUGGGAUGAAAUACAUAAUAACUACAUAGAAACAAGAGCCCUCUAUUGAGCUUAUUACAUCAAAAUUACUUUGCUUGAAACUUAAGCAUGUAAGCAAACCCCAUUGACUUCAACUGUGUAGGAACACACAGCACUCUGAAAAUGCUUGGCACAUCAGUGACAAUUAGCUUCUACUUUGAUUCUUUGACAGUUAUGUAACUUAAUAGCAUAAUUACUUCUUACUUUCCAGCUGGUGAAAAUUGGUGAAUGGGGCAGUGUCAGUGUUGGAGAAGAAAAUUCUUAGUCUUUUUAGCCAAGUUUUGCAGGCUCUCUGCUCUCUCUAUGCAGUGUGUUUACUUGAUUUUUGGUUGUGUACAUCAGACUGGGCUACAGUCAUGAAUAUAGAAAUGAUGUAGACUGAAGAAGGUAAUGUGGAGGGCUGCAGGUGGAUCUGUACACAGAGACUGCUCAUAGACUCAUCAGAUUCAGAGCUGGACCCACCUGAGGGAUCCCCAGACCUAGUGCUCUCAAAUGGGACCCCCAAGGGGCAAAAUCCAAGACUUUGCUGAAGAUCCAGAAGGAUUCAGACACCAAAAGCAAAACAUGUGCCAGGUAAGUGUCUUAUCAGCUUUCUUCAUGGCUGCAACUAAAAGAUCCAACCAGCACAAUUGUGGAAGAGGAAGAGUUUCUUUGGGGGUUCACAGUUUCAGAGGUCUCAGUCCAUAGACAGCAGAUUCUAUUCCUCGGGACUCAAAAUGAGGCAGGACAUCAUGGCAACAGAAUGGGACAAAGUAAAGCAGCUCAGAUAAUGAUCAGUAAGCAGAGACACUCCAUUCAACAGAUAAAAAGUAAACCAUACCUCUAGGGACCUGCCUUCUCCAGCCACACAUGCCUUCAGCUACCACUAUGUCAAUCCCUAUCAGGAGAUUAAUCCACUGAUUGGAUUAAGGUUCUUAUAAUCCAAUCAUUUCUCCCCUAAACCUUGCAUUGUCUCACACAUAUGCUUUUGGGGGACACCACAUCUAAACCAUAACAGUAAGGACCCACAGAGUUCUUUCAUGCUAAAAGCAAACCCCCACCCACUUCUGAGUAGGUAUCCUAAUGCAAGGUCUCCUACAUUCACAGAUGCACUAUGUGCAUAGCCAAGAGCAGGGAGCAGCCCGAUGUCCAUUGACAGAUGGGGUAAACAAAGGAAAUCCUGCCACAGGCUGCGGCAUGGGUGAGCCACGAAGAUGUGGAGGUAAUUGAGAGAAGCCAGUCACUAAGGGACAAAUACUGUAUAAUUCCCCUUAUGAGACAUAUAAAGUGGCCACAUCAUAGAUUAAGAAGUAGGGCAGUGGCUACCGAGGGCUGGGCAAGGGGUGGGGAGUUAGCAUUUCAUAUAUCCAGAGUUCCAGAUUCACAAGACAUAGAAGUUUUGGUGCUCAGUUUCAUAACCAUGUCAAUAGACCUGGUACUAUGGAAGUGUACACUUUAAAAGUGUUUAAGAUGAUAAGUUUUAUUAUAUAUUUUUAUUACUUUAAAAAUAAUUUUAAAUUAUUUAAAAAAUAAUUUUAAAAGACAACAAAGAAGCACUGGGCUGCUAUUGUAAAUGGCUCCUAAAAGAGCUAAAGAGCAUUCAUGUAUGACCAACAAUUCUACCUCUAGGUUUUACCCAAGAGAAAUGAAAAUAAGUGUUCAAAACAAAUGUGUUCUUGAAUGUUUAUCAUCUUACUAUUGACAAUAGCAAGAAAAUGGAAACAAGCCACACAUCCAUCAACUGAUGAAUGGGUAAACAAACGGUCUAUCCAUGCAGUGGAAUAUUAUUCAGCCAUAAAAAGGAACAAAGUGCUGAUUGCUGUCACAGCCUCAGAUGGACCUUGAAAAACAUUAGGCUAAGUAAGAGAAGGUAGACCCAACUGCUCACAGGUUAAUUGAUUCGACUUAUGUUAAAUGUCCAGAAGAAGCAAAUCUAUAAAAACAGAAAGCAGAUCAGUAGUUGCCAGUUGCUGGUUAUUGCCUGUGUAUGGCUCCUUCUGAGAGCAGAGAAAGUGUCCAGGAUCAGAUAGUGAUGACCAGUCACUAUCUAAUAGUGAAUGCAAAAUUUAAGAUGGUUAAAAUGGUGAAUUCCAUGUCCUAUGAAUGUUUCUUCCCCAAACAAAAGGCUUUAUGUAUAAAGAGUCUUUGGUCUAGC